AUCGAACGCUGGCGGCAGGCCUAACACAUGCAAGUCGAGCGGAUGAAGGGAGCUUGCUUCUGGAUUCAGCGUCGCACGCGGGUGUGUUGCCUAUGAGUCUCCUGGGUAGGGGGGGAGGACGACCGGAAACGGGCGCUACUACUGCAGAAUACCUGAGCGAGAAGGCGGGGGAUGGUCGGACCUCACGCUAUCAGAUGAGCCUAGGCCGGAUUAGCUAGUUGGUGGGUUAAAGGCCUACCAAGGCGACGAUCCGUAACUGGUCGGAGAGGAUGGUCAGUCACCCGGGAAGUGAGACAGGGUCCAGACUCCUGCGGGAGGCCGCAGUGGGGAAUAUUAGACAAUGGGCGAAAGCCUGAUCCAGCCAUGCCGAGUGUGUGACGAAGGUCUUCGGAUUGUAAAGCAGUUUAAGUUGGGGGAAAGGGCAGUAAGUUAAUACCUUGCUGUUUUGACGUUACCAACAAAAUAAGCACCGGCUAACUUCGUG
rnacentral:rRNA from 1 species